UGGCCCAUUUGGACGCACUCUUUGCCUCCGGUUCAGUUGUUGCUGCAGCUGCUGUGCUGACUCAUUGCCCCAGUAGCCAGCAGAAACUGGGGGCAUGGGCUCCUCAGGGACUUCAACAAGCUGGGGGCUUCUGGAUUACAAGACAGAGAAGUAUGUGAUGACCAGGAACUGGAGGGUGGGUGCCUUGCAGAGGCUGCUACAGCUCGGGAUUGUGGCCUACGUGGUGGGAUGGGCCCUCCUUGCCAAAAAAGGCUACCAAGAACGGGACCUGGACCCCCAGAUUUCUGUCAUCACCAAACUCAAAGGGGUUUCUGUGACUCAGAUCAAGGAGCUUGGGAACCGGCUAUGGGACGUGGCUGACUUUGUGAAACCACCACAGGGAGAGAACGUGUUCUUCUUGGUCACCAAUUUCCUUGUGACGCCAGCUCAAGUUCAGGGCAAAUGCCCAGAGCACCCCUCUAUCCCACUGGCUAACUGCUGGGUCAAUGAAGACUGUCCUGAAGGGGAGACAGGGACACACAGCCAUGGCAUAAAAACAGGUCAGUGUGUGGUGUUCAACGGGACCCACAGGACUUGUGAGAUCCAGAGCUGGUGUCCAGUGGAGAGUGGUACUGUGCCCAGGAGGCCCCUGCUGAUCCAGGCCAAGAACUUCACGCUGUUCAUCAAAAACACUGUCACCUUCAGCAAAUUCAACUUUUCUAAGACCAAUGCCUUAGAUACCUGGGACACCGCCUAUUUCAAGCACUGUCGCUAUGAUGCACUCUCCAGCCCCUACUGCCCAGUAUUUGGCAUAGGAGACCUUAUAGCCGCAGCUGGUGGGGACUUUGAGGACCUGGCAUUGCUGGGUGGUGCUGUGGGCAUCAGCGUCCACUGGGAUUGUGACCUGGAUACUGGGGGCUCUGACUGCUGGCCCCAUUACUCCUUCCAGCUGCAGGAGAGGAGUUACAACUUCAGGACAGCCAGUCACUGGUGGAAAGCCCCAGGUGUGGAAGCUCGGAGCCUGCUCAAGCUCUACGGGAUCCGCUUUGACAUUCUUGUCACUGGGCAGGCAGGGAAGUUUGGGCUCAUCCCCACAGCCAUCACAGUGGGCACUGGAGCUGCUUGGCUAGGUGUGGUAAGUACAACUACCACGGAUAGGCUCCCUCUGGCUACAGUGAGCACCUGCCUGGGUCUGCCAGAGCCCUCUGAGCCUGCACGUUGUAUCUCAGUGUGGGGUUUGGGUGGUGGCAGGAGAAGUUGGGGAACCAGGACAUGGUGGGCCCUGACUCUCCCAGAUCACCUUCCUCUGUGACCUGUUGCUACUGUAUGUGGAUAGAGAAGCCCAUUUCUACUGGAGUACAAAGUAUGAGGAGGCAAAAGCACCAAAGGAGGCUACCAAUCCUGAGUGGAUCACAUCGGCUUUCACACCAUCAAGCCCCACUGCCCAGGUGCCUUAGACAGUGCCAGCACCUGCCCUCAUGGUUGCUGCUGCUGGGAGCCAGACAUGGUUGCUGGAGUGGUUCUGUCUGGGCUCUGGGACUCACUCUGAUUAUUCCUGAGGCCUAUAGCACUCCCUGUUGGUUGGGGGUUGGAGGCUGGGAAGGAUGGAGGUCCUGACUUGGGGACCUUAAGGAUGAGAAGUCUAACAGAACUGGAGUAGGGAAUGGAGGGAUAAUUUAACUCUUAAAGUCCCAGGAAGAUUUUUCCCUCCUGAGUCCAGCCUUAGUAGGGUAGCCAUGGAAGCCAGUUUUGUUUAGAGACAUAUGUAGAACACAAGCCAUGGAGGUGGGGUGAGUUUGGGACAUCGUCAUUACAUCAUAGAAAGAGGUCCCACAUAUGCUCAGCUUACACCCACCUGUCAGUUCCCUGUGACAGUCUUUGGGCUUUGAAGGGCUGAAACAGGGAGAAGAGGACAAUGGGACUAAAUUGGUGGGCACUGAGUCUUUGGGUUCUUCUAAAUAUUCCUUUGGAGAUCAGCCAGCCUAACCCCCUGGAAUCUGAUCAACAGGUUUCCCAGGAGUCCUGGAGGUAGGGAGGUUGUAUAUCUGGAAUUUACUGCCAUCUAAGUCAUACCUAGUAACCUGUCUGGGUACCUGCCCACCCUAGCCUGAGGCAUAUGUAUGCAGGAGGCCCUAACCCUGACCCCAGGCAGAGAACAGUGGCUGUAAGGAAUGUCCCUAAUAGAGGACACUGAGGUCCCUUGAAGGCUGGACAGGUUCUGGUUGUGUAAUCUUCCUGGGGGGCCUAAAUUCUGCCUGAUGGAGAUUUUCCCUAGGGCCCAAGGUCAGGAUGGGAGGAUUAGGGCUGCAGGAACCAAGACCUCUCUUGGUCCUGGGUAUGGCAGGGAUUUGGGAAUACUCACCUAAGGGAGGUGAAGGGUUGCUUUAUAAUGGAUGCCUUUAUCAUGAGAAGGUCAAGGCUAAGGCUGAAGUUGGACUAGCCCCUGGAGUCAUCUGGCCUCAGUCCUUGGGGGUCCCUGUUGCCUCUCAAUCCCCAGGGCAGUAGUUCCACGGGCAGGUGGGCUCCGAAGGGGUAGACUGGGAAGGCAUGGCUCAUGAAGCCUGAUUAUCAGAGGUGAAUCACAUGUUCCUGAUUGUUCUCAAGGUCCAGAGAAAGCUGACGUCACUGUUGGAGUAAAGCUUGCAAAAGCCAGAAGCUUCCUAUGUGGUCCUUACAAGGAAAAAUGGGAAGGGGGAUGCAACUACAGUAGGCAUAGGACAGUCAGGGAGCCCCAGUGGAGGGUAUAGUGUGGAUCUAGGGCCUUUCUUGGAACUCUGUCCUUCCCAGGUUAGGGCUCCCAUAAUCCACCAAGUGGACUGGAAGGUAGUGAGGGCAAGCCCAAGUUCUUAUGCAUCUGUGAACAUCCAUGUGAAUUAAUCAUAUGUGCACCAUCUCCAGUCUUCAUUUCAAAACGCUGGCAGAGUGUGCAGAGAGAGACAAGUGAGCUGUGGGCUGUGCCUGAGU